rnacentral:rRNA from 1 species
AGUGAACGCUGGCGGCAGGCCUAACACAUGCAAGUCGAACGGCAGCACAGCAGUAGCAAUACUGUGGGUGGCGAGUGGCGGACGGGUGAGGAAUACAUCGGAAUCUGCCCAGUCGUGGGGGAUAACAUAGGGAAACUUAUGCUAAUACCGCAUACGACCUGAGGGUGAAAGCGGGGGAUCGCAAGACCUCGCGCGAUUGGAUGAGCCGAUGUCCGAUUAGCUAGUUGGCGGGGUAAUGGCCCACCAAGGCGACGAUCGGUAGCUGGUCUGAGAGGAUGAUCAGCCACACUGGAACUGAGACACGGUCCAGACUCCUACGGGAGGCAGCAGUGGGGAAUAUUGGACAAUGGGCGCAAGCCUGAUCCAGCCAUGCCGCGUGGGUGAAGAAGGCCUC